AUUGAACGCUGGCGGCAGGCCUAACACAUGCAAGUCGAGCGAGCGGCGGACGGGUGAGUAAUGUAUGGGGAUCUGCCUGAUGGAGGGGGAUAACUACUGGAAACAGUAGCUAAUACCGCAUACCAUCAGAUGUACCCAUAUGGGAUUAGAUGUUAGGUGAGUUAACGGCUCACCUAGGCGACGAUCCCUAGCUGGUCUGAGAGGAUUAUCAGCCACACUGGAACUGAGACACGGCCCAGACUCCUACGGUAGGCAGCAGUGGGGAAUAUGGCACAAUGGGCGCAAGCCUGAUGCAGCCAUGCCGCGUGUAUGAAGAAGGCCUUCGGGUUGUAAAGUACUUUCAGGCGGGAGGCGUUACCGACAGAAGAAGCACCGGCUAACUCCGUGCCAGCAGCCGCGGUAAUAC
rnacentral:rRNA from 1 species